GUCCAGCCAGCUCUGUGCUGGCCGCUGCCAGGACAGCGGUCAGAGGGGGCAGCGGUGGCGGCGAGUGGGCAGUGGGCAGCCAAGCUGCUGGUGUGCAGCACAAAUCCCAGCCUCUCCAAGGGACUUUGAAAUUCAUAAAGCAACAUGAGUAACUUAUUUUAAAUAUUUCCUCUUCCAGGUGGCCGUUGGACUCAUUACUAUGGCAUCUAUGAGUAGAAAAUUGGGAAUUUAAGAAGCAGAAUUUUCAAAAGCUAGAAGCUUACGUCCUGGAAAAGUUCAAUAAGAAACAGUGUUAGCUGGGAUGCAGCAUGCAUAUUCUCUCCUCAGGGUUACUGAUGAGCAAUCCAGAAUCACAGAAGCAUUUAGGUUGGAAAAGACAUUUAAGAUCAUCAAGUUCAACUAUGAACCCAGCACUGCCAAGCCCACCACUAAACCAUGUCCCCAAGCACCACAUCUAUGCAUCUUUUAAACACCCCCAGGGACAGGACUCAACUGUCUCCCCAGGCAGCCUGUGCCAGUGCUUGGCCACCCUUUUAGAGAAGAACUUUUUCCUUGUGCCCGAUCUGAACCUCCCUGGUGCAGCUUGAGGCCGUUUCCUCUUGUCCUGUCGCCUGUUACCUGGGAGCAGAGACCGACCCCCCUGCCCACAGCCCCUGCCAGGCACCUGUGGGGAGCAACAAGGUCCCCCCUGAGCCCCCUCCUCUCCAGGCUGAGCCCCCCCAGCCACCCCCCAUCAGCCUUGUGCCCCAGCCCCCU